rnacentral:lncRNA from 1 species
UUUAGGGAUUUACCCUAAUUUGAUUGGAAUUGAUUGAGAUUGAAUUGGCCAAGUGUGUUAUUUAGCAUUUAUAAUGCUUUGUUGAGUUGAUUUAAUUAAUUGAUUGAGAAAUCGUUGGGUAUUGGUUAUCACCUGAAAGGAAGCACGUGGGCUCGGUGAAUUGGAAUAUCACCUGGAAAAUGCACGUGAGUUUAGUGGUUGAUUAUAUUGAAUUGUUUAUGUUGGCUCUGUGAUCAGUGUAUCACCUUGGCGAAAAAGACUCCCGAGAGCAUAUUGAAUUGUUUAUGUUGGCUCUGUGAUCAGUGUAUCACCUUGGCGAAAAAGACGCCCGAGAGCAUAUUGAAUUGUUUAUGUUGGCUCUGUGAUCAGUGUAUCACCUUGGCGAAAAAAGACGCCCGAGAGCAUAUUGAAUUGUUUACGUUGGCUCUGUGAUCAGUGUAUCACCUUGGCGAAAAAGACGCCCGAGAGCAUAGUAAAGUGUUCACUGUACGUCACCUUGGC